GACGAACGCUGGCGGCGUGCCUAAUACAUGCAAGUCGAACGCAGUGGGGACGGCUGAGUAACACGUGGGUAACCUCGCAUCAGAGGGGUUAACACUUGGAAACAGGUGCUAAACCGCUACUGAUGGAUGGACCCGCGGUGCAUUAGCUAGUUGGUGAGGUAACGGCUCACCAAGGCCACGAUGCAUAGCCGACCUGCAAGGUGGAUCGGCCACACUGUAACUAGGACACGGCCCAGACUCCUACGGGAGGCAGCAGGGGGGAGUCUUCGGAAAUGGACGAAAGUCUGCCCGAGCAACGCCGCGUGAGUGAAGAAGGUUUUCGGAUCGUAAGACUCUGUUGUUAGAGAAGCGGUAUCUAACCAGAAAGCCACGGCUAACUACGUGCCAGCAGCCGCGGUAAUAC
rnacentral:rRNA from 1 species